rnacentral:rRNA from 1 species
AUUGAACGCUGGCGGCAGGCCUAACACAUGCAAGUCGAACGAGUGGCGGACGGGUGAGUAAUGUCUGGGAAACUGCCUGAUGGAGGGGGAUAACUACUGGAAACGGUAGCUAAUACCGCAUACCAUCGGAUGUGCCCAGAUGGGAUUAGCUAGUAGGUGGGGUAAAGGCUCACCUGGGCGACGAUCCCUAGCUGGUCUGAGAGGAUGACCAGCCCAACUGGAACUGGGACACGCUCCAGACUCUUACGGGAGGCAGCAGUGGGGAAUAUUGCACAAUGGGGGCAAGCCUGAUGCAGCCAUGCCGCGUGGAGGAAGAGGGCCUUCGGGUGUUAAAGUACUUUCAGCGGGGAGGCGUUACCCGCAUAAGAAGCACCGGCUAACUCCGUACCAGCAGCCGCGGUAAUAC